GCAAGUCGUACGUGUGUAGCAAUACACAAGUGGCGAACGGGUGAGUAACACGUAGGUAACCUGCCUUGUAGACUGGGAUACCCAAGGGAAACUUUGGACAAUACCGGAUAAAGUUUGUAAGGGCAUCCUUACAAAAGAAAAGGAGCAGCAAUGCUUCACUACGAGAUGGACCUGCGGCGCAUUAGCUAGUUGGUGAGGUAACGGCUCACCAAGGCUUCGAUGCGUAGCCGACCUGAGAGGGUGAUC
rnacentral:rRNA from 1 species